CCAAAUCGGAUAAGGCGCCUGACUGCGAAUCAGGAGAUUGCAGGUUCGAGUCCUGCCGUGC
rnacentral:tRNA from 1 species